GUAGAGCGAGAGCGUAUCAGGCAUUCUUU
rnacentral:piRNA from 1 species